CUGUAACGGGCUUUCCUGAUCGUGUGCCGAAGUGAUGGAGGAUGCCGUUCCUCUGUGUGCAAAUCGAGCGCCGUCCUCCCACUUCUCUGGCGGCGGCGCUUCCUCCCUCGGUGCCUUCAACUUCCCCAUCGUAGCCCCCAUCGAGAAUGUUGAGGAAAUAUUGCCGUGCAAAAUAUGCAGGAGAUACAAAUGGGCGUAGGAUAUUUCCUAGAUUCAUGUUGGUUCUUCCUUAAGGAGUCCCUUCUCUCGGAAGCUCUUGAUGCAGUCAUUAAACAUCUGUGGGAGAGUUUUGAAACAUGGAAGCCCGAGUUCCCUGAUCUUGGUAGUGUCCAUGCUGUGUGGAUUGCUGUCACCUUCCUGGUCAUUGCACCUGUCGGUUCCAAUUCGAUGUCAGUAAUAUUGACUCAGGAGGCAUCUCCUGAUAACUAAAACAAUCAGGGAACAACAAAAGAGUAUCACUUGGAUGGCAUCGGAUAAGAUGGGUUGUUUGCUCUAAUCAUCUCCACGAUCUCCGACCAGCGGGCAACACUACCGGAACAAAUGAGCCUUCCAGAGACUCUGCUGUCCUCCAUGGCAAGAAUGUGGCUGAAGAUUACAUCAUCAACGUGAACAAAUCCCACGGUUGUGUUCGGGUACCAGGAAAUAUUUCCUUUAGGAAGAGGGUCAGGUUUGAACAGAGCAAGACUUGAGUGUUUGCGUGAUGUUUGUGAUUCAGAGCAUGAAAUUGGAACAUAGGUGUAUUUACCUUUCAAGAUGGAGAGUAUGAUGAGGAGGGUGCUCGUUGGUCGUGGUGCAAUUAAUGGUCCGACGACAAAAGAUGGAUUCACUACCACUAGAUUGAUGCCAAAAUGCUCUGCUAAUCUCCAUGCUUCCUUUUCAGCCAAUGUCUUCGCAUAUGCAUACCACAGCUGCCAAUGCUUAAAUUAAUAAAGGGUAGACCAAGAGUUUUGUGCUGUGUCAAUGACAUCCAUCACAUCGCAGUUGGAUGUGAAGUUUGCCGAUAUGCUGCUGACACAAGCUAAAACUUCUCAUCAGUUCUUUGUCAGUUAACUAACUUGCAUUGGGCAUCUGGGUUCCCUGCAAACACAUAUUUGUUUCGGCCAGGAAUCGUUUGCAGGGAAGGACCCUUUUUUUGGUGGGCCUGGCCAUCUGCUGGGAACCAGAUGCCAAAGACAAAUUAUUCAGCUGCAAAGAGUUGUGCGGAAGUGUUCUUCCCAGAUAGAUGAGCAAGCUCUUUGGGUAUGAUGAAAAGCACACUGCUGAAAACAUGUCAGGAAUAUGAGAAGGCUUACAUUGUAUCUUUUGCAGUAUUCGGGGUCGCUCCAGUGUGACUCGUUGAGUGGGGAAACCAGAGUGACAUCAUAUCGAUACCUGAUGGAAGAGCAGGAAGAGGUGAGGACGACACGCCUCACCGAGCUUGCUUUGGAGCAGGAUUUGAGCACAUUCUUAGUGCCUUGUAUGGCUGGAUCUAUCAGAGCUUGCUGCCAACAAUUGAACCUUAUCGUUAUAAUCCAACCAGCGCAGUGGCCAUCACCGGUUUGGAGGAAGAACUCGUUCAGCAGAGGCUUGACAGAUAGCUACCAGGUAUUAUAUCCUAACAUGAUAAAGACCAACGAGGAGGACCUAGCGCAGUGUUGUCGCCGAUCAUCUUGGAGAAAGCACAAAGGACCCACUAGUCGGGGGAUCUACCGAGGUUUAAUCGGAGAAGACAGACGAAUAUUUUGUCAAAAUUUUCCCUUGGCAGUCUACUCACAGAUCACAAUCAACAAGAAGGGAACAACAAUGGAGUUCAGUGUGCGUGCGUGGACCUGGACGUUUUGGUCUUGCGGAACAAAGACAGGUGAUGCAGUGUGGAAGACACCGUCAACGCCGUCAACGGCAAGGUCGAAGCUUCCGUCCACCAGCAGGUCUGCCUUCACCAGCUUCAGCCGCUCCUUGGCUCCACCCAUGCUCCACAGGAACCCAACCUUGGCCACGUCCUCUGAGGGAACAACUCGGUCACGGAGAUAAUUGAGGCCUUGUCGAGUCCGUAAAGACAAAGAGCUAGUUGGAUAUACCUGUAUCUCUGACCGUUGCCCGGACAGUGUGGCCUCUGCUUAGCAGUUCUCUGAUGAGGUGGGACGCAAUGAAACCUGUUCCUCCGGUCACACAGUAUUCCGGCAUCUUCCUCUCACUCCAGGGAAGGCCUCGGUUUCUGGUGAUGUGUGCUUCCUGUCCCGAGCCGGUGAAGCCUUGGCUUGUUAUACUUGGUGUUGGGAAUGCUACAGGUUGAAAGGUAGGCAGACCAUGUGAGUGUGCAGGGUUUCAUGCUUUGGAUCAUGCGCUAAUAUGAAAUGUUCUUCA